UCCCCCCGUGUCACCCAGUGUCACCCCAGUGUCAUCCCGGUGUGCCCCAGUGUCACCCAGUGUCACCCAGCAUCACCCCGGUGUCACCCCAGUGUCCCCUGGUGUCCCCUAGUGUUCCCCCAGUGUCACCCAGUGCCACCCUGGUGUCACCCGGUGUUACCCCAGUGUCACCUGGUGUCCCCCAGUGUCACCCGGUGUCACUCCAGUGUCCCCCGGUGUCACCCUGGCAUCCCCCGGUGUCCCCCCGGUGUCCCCCCGGCGUCCCCCCAGCAUCCCCCAGUGUCACCCGGUGUCACCCCAGUCUCCCCCAGUGUCCCUCAGUCUCCCCCAGUGUCCCCCGGUGUCCCCCAGUAUCACCCGGCGUCACCCAGUGUCCCCCCAGUGUCCCCCCUGUGUCCCCCGGUGUCCCCCAGCAUCCCCUGGUGUCCCCCAGUAUCACCUGGCAUCACCCAGUGUCCCCCCAGUGACCCCCCGGUGUCCGCCAGCAUCCCCUGGUGUCACCCCAGUGUCACCCCAGUGUCCCCGGCGUCCCUCGGUGUCCCCCGGUGUCACCCCUGUGUCCCCCUGGUGUCCCCCGGUGUCCCCCGGUGUCACCCCUGUGUCCCCCUGGUGUCCCCCGGUGUUCCCCGGGUGUCCCCUGGUGUCCCCAGGUGUCACCUGCCGUCACCCCCUCCCUUGUCCCCAGCUGCGGGAGGCGCGCGAGGCCCUGGGGACGCUGCGGGCGCGCGUCCAGGCGCUGACGGCCGAGCUGGCGGCGUGCCAGAGGGGGUGAGGGGGGCACGGCCCCGACGCUGCCAUUGUCCCCAAACCCCUGGCAUUGUCCCCAAACCUCCAUCAUUGUCCCCAAACCUCCAUCAUUGUCUCCAAACCUCUAUCAUUGUCCCCAAACCUCCAUCAUUGUCCCCAAACCUCUAUCAUUGUCCCCAAACCUCCAUCAUUGUCCCCAAACCUCUAUCAUUGUCCCCAAACCUGUCCCCAACCCCCUGUCCCUGUCCCCAAAACACAGUUAUUGUCCCCAAACCCCUGUCCUCGUCCCCAACCCCUGUCCCCAACCCCCUGUCCCUGUCCCCAAAACCCACUCAUUGCCCCCAAAACCCGCUCAUUGUCCCCAACCCCAUCCUUGUCCCCAAAACCCCGCUCCCCAAUCCCAGCCCCCCUCCUCCAAACACUUUUCCCCUUGCCCAACCCCCUCUCCCCAUCANNNNNNNNNNNNNNNNNNNNNNNNNNNNNNNNNNNNNNN
rnacentral:lncRNA from 1 species